rnacentral:lncRNA from 1 species
CCUGGAGAGUUUUUUCCGGAGUUCAGCUGAUAUAAAUUCCCACUGGAGAGUUUGAGGCUGGCAAUCAGCUUACUCAUUCUCCGCUUAUCAUCACAAACCUCUGACCUUCAAACAUCGCUGGUGCGGUGCCCGGCUGAGCAAACUCAAAUCGAACCAGCUGGUGAUUCACCGCGCUCCCGUGUCGCGACACGCGGCCUCUGCUCGCUCCCUGCAGGUUCCCGACCUCGUCCCACGUCUGGUGCUUGUCCCACACCAGUGGUGCUGGGCCCUGGGUGGUGCUGGAGCACGGUCGGGGUUCCCACAUGGUUAUAGGUGAUAGGGCAGGGAUGCAGCACGGGCAAGGAUGCUGAGCUGGUUGGGGUCCCCCAGGUGUCCCCAGCCUGUGCCUGACAUCUCCGGGGACAUCUCUCCCUCUGCAGGAGAACCAGGGUUGGGUUUUGAUGAGACCGAUGCCUUUUCCAGGCAGCAUUUUCUGCUCCCCCUGGCCCGUCGGAUGCUGGCGACUGACUUUUUGCUCACUUUUUCCUAGAAAGAGCCAUCCUCACGGCCUCUUCCAAAGGCAACCCGUGCGUGCCAAAGCCACCUCCGCUGCCCGGAGCCCUUGGUGCUCGGAGCAGGGAUGCUGAGCCCGCAGGGGGAUGAAACAGGGGGGCUGCAAGGCUGGAGGGGGGGCGCAGCCACUCCUGCAGGAGGGCCGUGGGAGGCAACUGGUGUGCCAGCAGGCGCGGAGGAAUGCGGCAGCAGGGCGGGGGGAGGACAGAAAUUAAUAAUUAUCCAAAGCGCACCCCUAUCACUGUUCAUCGAAAUUUGCCCAUACUUCAUUCCAGCCUCCUUUCUUCUUCUUGCCUCCAGGCUGACGGAGCAUCGGUUUCAGAUUCUGCCUCACACUUGGCUGCCUCCAGCACACGGGAAGGACCAGGGGUGAUGCUCUGCUGGCAGUCCCGGCGUGCAGCGCAGCAAGAGGCCGGCAAGAGCAUGCUGGAAGCUGUAGUCCAGGUGCCCCGGCAUCGCCAGCGCCGCACUGAGCUGCUCACAGCCCUCCUGCUCCUCCUCCUCCUCCUCCUUCCUCACAAACACCGCCUCUGCUUGCUAAUCCCUCCCAGGCUUUGCAGCCUUCGAGUGACAAAAUGCAAAUGGUGGGGGAGCAGAGGAAGAAAUUGCACAGCGAGGAGAGAUAAAGCAAAUAUCCGAACGCCGAGCCGCCUUCAGCGCAGCUCGCUGGCGCCCGAGCGUUCCUCCGGGAGCGCCUCAGCUCGGAAAAUGUUUGUCGUCUCCCAUCAGGAGACGCUCGCUCUAAUUGCUGUCUUCCCGUGCCCGAGCAGCCGGCACCGCUCACCCCCAGCGGGGCCGGGGCUGGCCGAGGGACACCGCUGCUCCUGGGUCCUGCACUGAGGUGCUGGGGUUUUCCUUCUCUGGUGAGCAAAGGAAACCCUGGCAAAGUGAUAAGAGCAUCAUGAUGAAGUGUUAAACUGUGAGUGAUUCCUCGGGUCCUGUCCCAGCGAAGGAUGCACUGAAAAGGAUUCAUCCCCCCGGGGGAAGCAGCAGCUCCAAGGAUCUUCCUCUCACCCACCCCUCUGGGUGUAAGGACUUGUUAUAAAUAAUACUCGAGCCUAAAGGAGGUGAAUGAGGACUUUUAUGGAUUUAACACGAAACUCUAACAUCUUUUUCCACUAAAGCUUCUGUCAAUAAAUCAUUUUUUAAUUAUCA